UAAGCCCUACGGGGGGCAGCAGUGGGGAAUAUUGGGCAAUGGGCGCAAGCCUGACCCAGCAACGCCGCGUGAAGGAAGAAGGCUUUCGGGUUGUAAACUUCUUUUAAGAGGGAAGAGCAGGAGACGGUACCUCUUGAAUAAGCCACGGCUAACUACGUGCCAGCAGCCGCGGUAAUACGUAGGUGGCAAGCGUUGUCCGGAUUUACUGGGUGUAAAGGGCGUGCAGCCGGGCAGACAAGUCAUAUGUGAAAU
rnacentral:rRNA from 1 species